rnacentral:misc_RNA from 1 species
GGCUCUCUCCUACGGGAGGCAGCAGUGGGACUCCUACGGGAGGCAGCAGUGGGACUCCUACGGGAGGCAGCAGUGGGACUCCUACGGGAGGCAGCAGUGGGACUCCUACGGGAGGCAGCAGUGGGACUCCUACGGGAGGCAGCAGUGGGACUCCUACGGGAGGCAGCAGUGGGGCCCACUCCUACGGGAGGCAGCAGUGGGACCCACUCCUACGGGAGGCAGCAGUGGGGCCCUGGCUCAGAACGAACGCUGGCGGCUGGCUCAGAACGAACGCUGGCGGUUGGCUCAGAACGAACGCUGGCGGCAGCAUUGGGACUCCUACAGGAGGCAGCUCUGGG